UUAUUGUUAUUAUUAUUAUUUUUUGAGUUGGAAUCUCACUCUGUCACCCAGGCUGGAGUGCAGUGGCACACUCACAGCCACCCCAGUGUCAAUCU
rnacentral:snoRNA from 1 species